rnacentral:lncRNA from 1 species
UGCAAAGAAACAUUAAGAUUAAACCAAUUUUAUUGAUAUUGUGUUUGUUGGAGAUGGCUAAGCUUACUUUAAUGCAUAUUUUCACCCUUUUCCUUUUGCUUGCAGGUUUAUUCUAGAUAGUGUAAUAAUAUAUAGUUUCUUGAUAUUUAUAUAUGUAUGAUUUGCAAAACUUAUCAUUAUUUAAUAAAUUUCAGGUAUUUUCAUCACAAGUGAAGCACGUCCAAAAAGAGUUGAGGCUCCUAAAAGAACAUCAAUAAGAAUAUCUAUAGGUGGUUGCAUUCUUGCAAAUUGUCAAAGUCAAUGUGAAAUUUUGUAUGGUUCACGUCAUACUCAUGUAUUGGGAGAAUGUGUUUCCAAUAAUUGCAAUUGUUCUUAUGAUGAUUGAUAUGUUUGUAACCUUCUUAAUUGAAGAAUGAAUAAAAACUAAUUCUCUAUUGAAUUGAAACCUUGGAC